rnacentral:tRNA from 2 species
AGGGGAUUAGUUUAAUGGUAGAACAGCGGUCUCCAAAACCGCUGGCGCGGGUUCAACUCCUGCAUCCCCUGCCA